rnacentral:rRNA from 1 species
GUGCCUUCGGGAACUCUGAGACAGGUGCUGCAUGGCUGUCGUCAGCUCGUGUUGUGAAAUGUUGGGUUAAGUCCCGCAACGAGCGCAACCCUUAUCCUUUGUUGCCAGCGAUUCGGUCGGGAACUCAAAGGAGACUGCCGGUGAUAAACCGGAGGAAGGUGGGGAUGACGUCAAGUCAUCAUGGCCCUUACGAGUAGGGCUACACACGUGCUACAAUGGCGUAUACAAAGAGAAGCGACCUCGCGAGAGCAAGCGGAACUCAUAAAGUACGUCGUAGUCCGGAUUGGAGUCUGCAACUCGACUCCAUGAAGUCGGAAUCGCUAGUAAUCGUAGAUCAGAAUGCUACGGUGAAUACGUUCCCGGGCCUUGUACACACCGCCCGUCACACCAUGGGAGUGGGUUGCAAAAGAAGUAGGUAGCUUAACCUUCGGGAGGGCGCUUACCACUUUGUGAUUCAUGACUGGGGUGAAGUCGUAACAAGGUAACCGUAGGGGAACCUGCGGUUGGAUCACCUCCUUACC